UGGGAAUUGUGGUCACUUUCCUAUCUGUGAAAAUCAGCAGAAAGUUGUGAUAGCCAUUUUCAUUGUUGAAGAAAGCUAAAGAAGAGCCAUGGAUUUGGCUUCCAUAAUCCAUAACAACACUACUCAAUCCCCUCCAAAGUUCCACAAGAUUUCCCCAAUCUCUUCGCCUUCUUCAUCCCCCAAAUGGGUUCACUUUCAAUUAGCUCAUCUUCGCUUUCCACCACCCAUUUCAGUUGGGUGUAAAUGUAGAGGAAGAAGAUAUAGUGCGGUGGUUUCCUGCUUGAGAAAAUCUGAACAAGGGGAAGAGUUGUCUAAUGCUGAAGAAAGAACUCAAGGGUCUGGAACUUAUGUGUCUUCUGUCAAGACAGUAGCCUUGUGUUGAUGGAUUUAUAUAGGUGUUUUCAGCAGUGGCAUUUGGUGUUGGCGUGGGACUCACGGAUGGAGUCAGCAAGUCAUCUGAAUUUUUCGCUGGGUAUCUGCUGGAGCAGAGUUUGUCAGUGGAUAAUCUAUUUGUAUUCGUUCUGAUAUUCAAAUAUUUCAAAGUACCACUUAUGUAUCAGAACCGGGUGCUAUCGUAUGGAAUUGCUGGUGCCAUAAUCUUCAGGUUGUCUAUCAUACUGCUUGGAACAGCAACCCUGCAGAGAUUUGAGGCAGUUAACUUACUGUUGGCUGGGAUUCUUCUAUACUCAUCAUUCAAGUUGUUCACUGGAGAAGAAGAAGAUGCUGAUCUAUCUGACAAUUUCAUUGUGAAGACCUGCCAGAAAUUCAUUCCCAUCACAUCUGAAUAUGAUGGUGACAGGUUCAUAACUUUGCAGGAUGGUGUAUGGAAAGUAAGUCAACAGGGAGUUGUUUUAGCAGUUCAAUUUUAUCUGUCUUAGCAUGUCACCUCAAUAAUAUUCAUGUAUAUAUCAAUUUGUACUUGUAAAUUUCAGGCCUAACAAAAUCCGGUAUCUUUUGACCAUCUAUACAAACAAAAACCUGUGUACUUGUUAUAUAGUUUUCUAGAAUAUUUUGUAGAUUAAUUUUUCUGAUUUUUAACAGCCUUAAACAUUUUGGGCAGGCUACACCUUUACUUCUUACAGUAGCGGUUAUUGAACUCAGUGAUAUUGCAUUUGCUGUUGAUUCUAUACCAGCAGUUUUUGGUGUCACAAGAGAUCCUUUCAUAGUUUUCACAUCCAAUCUCUUUGCAAUUUUAGGAUUGAGGUCAUUGUACACACUCAUUUCUGAAAGUAUGGGGGAGUUGGAAUAUCUACAGCCUUCCAUUGGUGUUGUCCUGGGAUUCAUUGGAAUCAAAAUGAUCCUAGACUUUUUCGGAUACCAUGUUUCCACAGAGGCGUCUCUUGGUGUCGUAGCAACAUGCCUAAGCGCUGGAGUCUUGCUUAGUCUUGUAAAGAAAUCUGAUCAAUGAGUCUGGGUGCUCUCUCGAGAUCAUGUUCUUUAGGAGGAUAGAAGAGAUAUCUAUGGUGUUCCUUUUUUUUCUUCUCUUUGUCGUUGUCUUGAACUUUCUCUGUCCAAUGUACUUUGACAAUGACAAAAUUAACAAUCUUUUAACAUGUUUCUUUUUGUAAUGAUUUGAUUUCUUAAUACAACUCAGGUUGAGAUGAGUUAUUACAA